rnacentral:rRNA from 1 species
CAAUAGCGUAUAUUAAAGUUGUUGCGGUUAAAAAGCUCGUAGUUGGAUUUCUGCUGAGAACGACCGGUCCGCCCUUUGGGUGUGUAUCUGGCUCUUUCUUGGCAUCUUCUUGGUGAACGUUGCUGCACUUGACUGUGUGGAGCGCUACCCAGGACUUUUACUUUGAGGAAAUUAGAGUGUUCACGGCAGGCAGUCGCCUUGAAUAUAUUAGCAUGGAAUAAUAAUAUAGGACCUUGGUUCUAUUUUGUUGGUUUCUAGAACUUAGGUAAUGAUUAAUAGGGACAAUUGGGGGCAUUUGUAUUAACACGUCAGAGGUGGAAUUCUUGGAUUGUGUUACGACAAACUACUGCGAAAGCAUUUGCCAAGGAUGUUUUCAUUGA